GAUGAACGCUGGCGGCGUGCUUAACACAUGCCAGUCGAACGAUGAAGCCCAGCUUGCUGGGUGGAUUAGUGGCGAACGGGUGAGUAACACGUGAGUAACCUGCCCUUAACUCUGGGAUAAGCCUGGGAAACUGGGUCUAAUACCGGAUAGGAGCGCCUACCGCAUGGUGGGUGUUGGAUAGAUUUAUCGGUUUUGGAUGGACUCGCGGCCUAUCAGCUUGUUGGUGAGGUAAUGGCUCACCAAGGCGACGACGGGUAGCCGGCCUGAGAGGGUGACCGGCCACAAUGGGACUGAGACACGGCCCAGACUCCUGCGGGAGGCAGCAGUGGGGAAUAUUGCACAAUGGGCGAAAGCCUGAUGCAGCGACGCCGCGUGAGGGAUGACGGCCUUCGGGUUGUAAACCUCUUUCAGUAGGGAAGAAGCGAAAGUGACGGUACCUGCAGAAGAAGCACCGGCUAACUACGUG
rnacentral:rRNA from 1 species